rnacentral:rRNA from 1 species
GUGCACGCUGGCGGUAGGCCUAACACCUGCAAGUCGAACGGCAGCACAGUAAGAGCUUGCUCUUACGGGUGGCGAGUGGCGGACGGGUGAGGAAUACAUCGGAAUCUACUUUUUCGUGGGGGAUAACGUAGGGAAACUUACGCUAAUACCGCAUACGACCUACGGGUGAAAGCAGGGGAUCUUCGGACCUUGCGCGAUUGAAUGAGCCGAUGUCGGAUUAGCUGGUUGGCGGGGUAAAGGCCCACCAAGGCGACGAUCCGUAGCUGGUCUGAGAGGAUGAUCAGCCACACUGGAACUGAGACACGGUCCAGACUCCUACGGGAGGCAGCAGUGGGGAAUAUUGGACAAUGGGCGCAAGCCUGAUCCAGCCAUACCGCGUGGGUGAAGAAGGCCUUCGGGUUGUAAAGCCCUUUUGUUGGGAAAGAAAAGCAGCAGGUUAAUACCCCGCUGUUCUGACGGUACCCAAAGAAUAAGCACCGGCUAACUUCGUG